rnacentral:rRNA from 1 species
AAGGAAUAUUGUGCAAUGGGCGAAAGCCUGACACAGCGACGCCGCGUGGGGGAUGAAGGCUUUCGGGUUGUAAACCCCUUUUCUCAGGGAAGAACAAUGACGGUACCUGGGGAAUAAGUCUCGGCUAACUACGUGCCAGCAGCCGCGGUAAUACGUAGGAGGCGAGCGUUAUCCGGAUUUACUGGGCGUAAAGAGGGCGUAGGCGGUCCUUCAAGUCGGAUGUUAAAUCUCCCGGCUCAACUGGGAUGGACCAUUCGAUACUGCUGGGCUGGAGGAUAGCAGAGGGAGGUGGAAUUCCCGGUGUAGUGGUGAUAUGCGUAGAUAUCGGGAGGAACACCAGUGGCGAAGGCGGCCUCCUGGGCUAUYUCUGACGCUGAGGCCCAAAAGCGUGGGGAGCGAACAGGAUUAGAUACCCUGGUAGUCCACGCUGUAAACGAUGGACACUAGGUAUAGGGAGUGAUCGACCCUUUCUGUGCCGAACGUAGCGCAUUAAGUGUCCCG